UUAUUGUUGCUCUGCUGGUGUAAGAUGGGUUAACAUUAUUAAACAUAUUGGUGUGAUGUAAAUAUGUGUUACUCCUUAGAAACCAUCAAUUUGCCAAGUCAUAUUGAGUCAUUCAUCUGGAGGACAGCUGAAGGGGUUAAUUAAAAACAGCUGCAUCUAAUCAUGCUUGUGUAUACUUACAGGGCAAAGGAAAGACAGAACCAAAAAAAAAAAAAAAAUAGGACUUCUGUGGAGAAAGGAGAUCUCUAAAAGCCAAGAUGAGUGUCAGAUGGUCUGAGAAUCAAAAAAGAAUCAGAUCUACUAAUUAAAGUGGGUUAUAGUGAAGUAUAAAAGUCAUCCCAAUAUGGCAUUAAGUAAGAACACAUUGAGAUUGGAGAGCAAAACAUGGUUAAUUAUAUAAAGUGUAAACAGUGUAUCU
rnacentral:lncRNA from 1 species